UUGCUCUGGGGAUGCAAAGGAGGGAAAUCCCUGCACUUCCUGUCUGUCUUUUUGGCAGCCCGGAUUGAAUUGAGGACUACAUCU
ensembl:snoRNA